rnacentral:rRNA from 1 species
UACAGAGGUCUCAAGCGUUGUUCGGAUUCAUUGGGCGUAAAGGGUGCGUAGGUGGCGCCGUAAGUCGGGUGUGAAAUUUCGGAGCUUAACUCCGAAACUGCAUUCGAUACUGCGGUGCUUGAGGACUGGAGAGGAGACUGGAAUUCAUGGUGUAGCAGUGAAAUGCGUAGAGAUCAUGAGGAAGACCAGUGCGAAGGCGGGUCUCUGGACAGUUCCUGACACUGAGGCACGAAGGCCAGGGGAGCAAACGGG